rnacentral:rRNA from 1 species
UACGUAGGGGGCGAGCGUUGUCCGGAUUUAUUGGGCGUAAAGAGCUCGUAGGCGGUUUGGCAAGUCGGGUGUGAAAACUCCGGGCUCAACUCGGAGACGCCACUCGAUACUGCUAUGACUCGAGUCCGGUAGGGGAGUGCGGAAUUCCUGGUGUAGCGGUGAAAUGCGCAGAUAUCAGGAGGAACACCGAUGGCGAAGGCAGGUCUCUGGGCCACUACUGACGCUGAGAAGCGAAAGCAUGGGGAGCGAACAGG